ensembl:lncRNA
CAAGUACCCCUGACUGCAGCCCGCAGACGGAGCCCACAUGGAGGGGGCGGGCACUCAGUCCACAUGGAGGGGGCCGGCCCUCCGCCCACAUGGAGGGGGCUGGCCCUCCGCCCACAUGGAGGGGGCCGGCACUCAGUCCACAUGGAGGGGGCGGGCACUCCGACCACAUUGACGAUUGAGCAGAUUUCCGCUGCUCUUGUUAAUGCAAGAGUAAACGGUAAUACUAUGUUAAGCUAGCGGGAGCCCAUGCUGUUAAUUAAAUUAUACAAACAGAUGGUACGGGAGUAUUGUGACUGGGUAUCUUUCUUGCUGCGUACCAUGGAACUAUUAUAAAGUUAAGCAUAGCCUAAACGACUUGCAAAUACAUUUUCUCUUGUUUAUUUUUUUUUUCGCUUAGCUGUUCCACUCAUGGACCUAUUAACCCUUAUAAGUUGUUCGGGACCCGUUUUCAGUUUUUAGCUUUAUAAAAGUGAUACAAAUAAUUAUUUUUUUGAACCAAGAUUCAUUGGCUUUGGAACAUAAAUCAGAAAACAUUUUCAAUGACCCCCCCCCCCUGUAUACCCCCCCCAUCACAUUUAUAUUACACACAGGGUGUUCGGGUCCAGUGGACCCGGAGCUAGUUUUAAGUGUGGAAAUCAUAGGUUCUGUGCACCCUCAUUUUCCCUUCUUCCUCUCUGUGUGUGUGUGUGUGUGUGUGUGUGUGUGUGUGUGUGUGUGUGUGUGUGUGUGUGUGUGUGUGUGUGUGUGUGUGUGUGUGUGUGUGUGUGUGUGAGAGAGGUGAAGCAGGUGAAUGGGCCCUUGGUGUGAGCACCCACAGUGUGCACCCACUGUUCCCGCACAAGGUUGCAAAAUUGGAGCACCCAACACUAUCUACACCCAUAUUCCCACACAUUUCACCCUCUGUCUUGUUGGGGACCUGACACUAUAGAAAAGCUCUGUCACGUGGUUCCAUACCACAACUGAUCAAGAUGGCAAAGCGAUUCUCUGUUCAGACUGCCUUACAGUUGAUAUUUGAAGAGACAGAGGGUUUUGAUGGUGAUGCAGAGGAAAUAGUUUCGGAAAGUGAGGAUAACAUUUCAGAGUCUGACACCGAGUUUGAAGAGGAGGAUGAGCAUCAGCCAGCUCCGAAACGUAAAAGAGCCUCAGGACUAGCCCUUCAGCAGUCAGGACCAACCCGCAAGCAGCCAGCCCCAGGACCAACCCCCA